CGUAGGGGAGCAAGCGUUGUCCGGGAAUUACUGGGUGUAAAGGGAGCGUAGGCGGGGAAAGCAAGUUGAAUGUUUAAUCUAUGGGCUCAACCCAUAUCCGCGUUCAAAAACUGCUUUUUCUUGAGUGAAGUAGAGGUUGGCGGAAUUCCUAGUGUAGCGGUGAAAUGCGUAGAUAUUAGGAGGAACACCAGUGGCGAAGGCGGCCAACUGGGCUUUUACUGACGCUGAGGCUCGAAAGCGUGGGGAGCAAACAGGAUU
rnacentral:rRNA from 1 species